rnacentral:pre_miRNA from 1 species
GUAUUACUCUCUCCGUCCCAUAUUAAGUGACUUUCUAUUACAUGUAUCUACACGCUUUUUAGGCAUAGAUACAUUCAUAUUUGGAUAAAUUUGAGUCACUUAAUAUGUGACGGAGGGAGUAUUAA